CCCUGGUGGCUUAGUGGUAAAGAACUUGCCUGUCAAUGCAGGAGACACAGGUUCGAUUCCUGGAUCAGGAA
rnacentral:tRNA from 1 species